CGCAAGUUCUUCUUCUAGUAUAAUCACCCAGUUCUCUUGCAAAAAUCUCAACUCUUCCCCACCCAAGUUCUUCUCUUGGGCUGUCGGAUUUCGCGACAGGGGUUGUGUGUUCAAUCGAGGACGAAGAGAACAUCGCAGAUUGUGAUUUCUAAUCAUAAAUUCAGAUGCGACGGAGUUUCUGAACUUGGUAGAUGACUCGGUUCAAGCAUAUCAAAGUCUUAUGCACGAUUUGGAUGAGUUUCUGAAGAACUAUGACAAGCUCUAGACUCAAAUCGAUGCGAUGCCCAGCCACCAUUCCCUCAAAGUUUAGCGAGAAACCCCAACAAGCGUCGUCAUCUCCACCCCUCUCUAUUGUCUCGUGCUGGUGAAAUUGGUAGAGUUGUUCAAGCGGUGCCGAUUGGAAAUACCAUAAGUAUUUUCUUGAGGUCUAGUAACACUCUUAGAUUUAGAUUUCUUAAAAGUUAAUGUUACUCAAAACCAAAUUUGAUUAAAAGAAUUAGAGCCUCUAG